CAGGGCGAAUAUGGCGAAUUUCAAGGAUGAGAAAACAUUUACCAUUAUGAGACUUCCAAGGCUGCAUUAUAUGUUAAAACCAUGAAACGAUUAGUCUACAAAGCCGACAAUAAAUAAAAUUGUCGACACAUAUCUUUGUUGUCGAGUGGUCGUUUUCAUCAUUCUCAUUAGACUUAAACUAAUAUAAAUGCAUGUAAUAUCGUGAUUUGACCGCUACGACGCUGUAGCGCUAGAGUGUAAUGCAGCCCUAACAAAUCUGCGAUAGAAGAAGAUGGAUGAAAAAACACAGCGCAGAUUAUGGCGAAGUGCAAAUGAAAGUUUUACAACACUUAAAACCAAGAAUGCUGUCGUGUGUAAUACAUAAAAGACAGAUAUUGCCUUUCACGGGAGCACAUGGUGCAUGUUGGAGCACUUAGGUGGGAGUGAUUCGGAGUCAUCGGAGAAGAGGACCAAAUCCUCUGAAAGAUGCAGAAAUCCAUGAACAAAAGGGCAAGGACAAAGACAACAUAACCAGAAAAUACAUUAAUCCCAUCAAAGCUCGUCCAUGAGCCUGUCGUUUCAGGAAGUGAAGUCACAUCUCCUAAAGAGGUUUGUUAAUAAUUUUUGUGA